UACGUAGGCAGCAAGCGUUGUUCGGAAUUACUGGGCGUAAAGAGUGUGUAGGCGGUGCUCUAAGUUCGGUGUGAAAUGGCCCGGCUCAACCAGGUCAUUGCCUUUGAAACUGCCGGACUCGAGUACGGAAGAGGAGAGCGGAAUUCCCAGUGUAGCGGUGAAAUGCGUAGAUAUUGGGAGGAACACCGGUGGCGAAGGCGGCUCUCUGGUCCGAAACUGACACUGAGAUGCGAAAGCCAGGGGAGCAAACGGG
rnacentral:rRNA from 1 species